rnacentral:tRNA from 1 species
UACGGCCUGGUGUAUUUGCACACGGACCUUUGGCAUCCGAGGUAUAGGUAAUCCUAUGGCUGUAA